AUUGACCGCUGGCGCCAGGCCUAACACAUGCAAGUCGAACGAGUGGCGGACGGGUGAGUAAUGCCUGGGAAACUGCCUGAUGCAGGGGGAUAACUACUGGAAACGGUAGCUACUACCGCAUACUAUCGGAUCUGCCAAGAUGGCAUUAGCUAGUAGGUGGGGUAAAGGCUCACCUAGGCGACGUUCCCUAGCUGGUCUGAGAGGAUGACCAGCCACACGGGAACUGAGACAAGGUCCAGACGCCUACGGGAGGCAGCAGGGGGGAAUAUUGCACAAUGGGCGCAAGCCUGAUGCAUCCAUGCCGCGUGUAUGAAGAAGGCCUUCGGGUUGUAAAGUACUUUCAGCGGUGAGGCGUUACCCGCAGAAGAAGCACCGGCUAACUCCGUGCCAGCAGCCGCGGUAAUUC
rnacentral:rRNA from 1 species